rnacentral:rRNA from 1 species
GCGGUAAGCUUUCCAUGCAAGUCGAACGGUAACAGGUCUUCCGAUGCUGACGAGUGGGGAACGGGUGAGUAAUAUAUCUCAACGUGCCCCCUCUUGGGGGAUAUCGUAUCGAAAGUUACGCUAAUACCGCAUACAAUCUACGGAUGAAAGCGGGGGAUCUCAAGACCUCUCGCGAUUGUGGCGGCCGAUAUCACAUUAUGUAUUUGGUGGGGUAAAGGCUCCCCCCGCCCACAAUCUGUGUCUGUUCUGAGAGGACAACCUCCCCCACUGGAACUGAGACACGGUCCCCACUCCUACAGGAGGCAGCAGUGGGGAAUUUUGGACAAUGGACGCAAGUCUGAUCCCCCCAUUCCCCGUGCGCGAUGAAAGCCCUCUCGUUGUAAACUGUUUUUGUACGGAACGAAAAGGUUUCCUUUAAUACUGGAAGCUCUUGACAGUACCGUAAGAAUAAACACCGGCUAACUACAUGCCACCACCCGCGGUAAUACAUAUGGUGCGAGCGUUAAUCUCAAUUACUGGGCGUAAAGCGUGCGCACGCGGUUAUAUAAGACAGAUGUGAGAUCUCCGGGCUCUCCUGUGAACUGUGUUUGUGACUGUAUAUCUAUAGUACGGUAGAGAGGGAUGGAAUUCCGCGUGUGUCACUGAAAUGCGUAUAUAUGCGGAGAAGCACCGAUGGCGAAAGCGAUCUCCUGUACGUGUGCUGACGCUCAUGUGCGAAAGCGUGUGGAGCAAACAGGAUUAUAUACCCUGUUAGUCCACGCCCUAUACGAUGUCUACUGGGGUGUUGGGGUCUUCUCU